CUCUCAGGCGGCGACCGAGGCGGCAAGGAGGUCGCCACACUUGCGGCCUCAGGAGGCGGGGGAGCGGCCAGCCACCAGCCACCACGAGGCCUCUCCCCCCAAAGAACAGCCUCUCUCUGGCAGGAGCUGGGGGGGUUCCAGCCCCACGGCCACCUCCCCACUGAAAAAAGCUCUGAGGGAAAACUGGCUCAAAAUACAAGCCUCUCAGAGAGGAGAGAGACACUGCUGUGAGGGGCGACAGGACCCUCUUGCCGUGGAAAGCUUUUUAGACAUUUUUAUGAGGGAAAUUUUUUUUUUUAAGUCUCUGAGGGAGAACAAGAGCUUCUCAGUGGGGAGCUGCUUAGGCUUCCCCUUGCCAACAAAGAGGAAUAAAAGUCUCUGAGGGGAAACUCCCUGCCAAAUUAUAUGUUAUAUAUCUGAGGGGAGACAAGAGUUUCUCAGUGGGAAGCUCACCUCUCUGCUUUGGCUUCAGCUUGCCCAAAAAAGGAGGGGAAAGCCCUCUCUAAGGGGAAAGGGAGGAUUCAAAGUGUGGAGUGUAUCUCUUUGCUUUGGCUUCAUCUGCCAAAAAAUAAAAGUCUCUGAGGGAAACAGUUUCUCAGUGGGGAGUUCACCUCUCUGCUUUAGCUUCGUUUUGCCAAAGAAAGAAAGAAAGAGGGGAAGUCUCUCAGGCGACUUUCCUUCUCUUUUGUUAAAAAAUUAUCUGAGGAAAAGGCAAUCUCCAAGACAGUGCAAAAAAGGGCUAUGAUUUUCUGAGGAAAGGCUGUCUCUCUCAGAUAGUCAAGGGCUACAAGCCCAGCCUCAGGACAAGUCCCUUUUCCACAGGAAAAGGAGGAAGCCGCUUGAGGAAUGCUAUGCUGCCAGGACAAGGCUUUUUAAAAGAACAGUUUCUGGGAGAAUGGCAGGAAUAGGGGUUUCAAGCCUGCCAACUUGGCCUUUACCUCUGUCUCACCUAAGAAGUGUCUGAGCCUGAGGGGGAACAGGGUCUAUUAGGGAGGCAUUCAUCUCUGCUUUGAUUUCAACUUGCAAAAAAAGAAAGAAGAAGAAGAAGAAGUUUGAGAGGAAACAGAGUUUCUAAGUGGGGAGUUAAUUUCUCUACUUGGGCUACAUCUUGCCAAAAAAGGGUUUCUGAGGAGAACAUCGAGUUUCUAAGGGGGGGAUUCAUCUCCCUGCUUUGGCUUCAUCCUGCCAAAACAACUCUGAGGAUGCUGCAGCCGUGCUGGCGUGAACAAAAGCCCUGCCACCUCACUGCCCACAUUUACAGCAUUUUGUCUGCCGAGGGCAAAGCGCAGCAGAUUCAUCCUGUCCUCAGAAGGCUGGGGCGCCACAGUCUUCUGCAUUACAGCAAAAAUCUGCCCACUAUUAAAGCGUUCUUUCUCUCUGCAUACAAAUGUCAUAAAUAUGCACAGCGUAGGGCAGGACUUCUGAGCACAAUGGCACCAGGGCUGUGGCAGAAAACUAUGAGGUCAGGGGCUGUGUAAAUACAGACGGGCUGGCUCUAAUACGGGAAAACUCUGUUGUUCUAGGAACUGUCAGUAGAAGCUUCAGGCUUCUUUAUCCCCCCAAGAGCUUUGUUGGGCAGCAUAAAAUUUCUAAGAUAGUGGCUGAAUGGAUUGGGACAUGUUUCAUGUGUGUUAGAAGCCUCAGGCUUCUGGCAGCAUAAUCUCUAAAAGCGUGGCUAGCUUGAAUGGAACACUCUUCAUGAGUGUUUCAUUCUGACCCCAAGGAAGAAACAGAAUUGACGCACCAUUCGCAAGGACCUCCAUGCCUGAACAUUGAUGUUGGAACACUUUCUCCUGCCAAGUGGCCUCUGUGGCAGAUUCCAAGAAAGAACUAAAGGAGUCUUAAGAAUGAAUUAAAGGAAGCAACGACGCACGACAGAUGCCAAACCAGGGGCUGCAUAACUCAAUCACAACGCACUGUGAAUUAUUUCCAAAAGAAGCCCGAGGCUUCUUUAUACUCCCACCAACUUUGUCAGGCAUCAUAAUCUCUCAGAUGGUCCCUGUCCUGAAUGCAACAUGCUUCAUGCAUGUUAGGAGCUUCAUGCUUCUGUAUUUUCUCAAUGGCUGCGGGAGGCAGCACCAUCCCUUGCUGUCUUGAAUGGAACAUGCUUCAUGCAUGUUAGGAGCUUCAUGCUUCUGUAUUUUCCCAAUGCCUGUGGGAGGCAGCAUCAUCUCUAAGAUGGUGGCUUUUCUUGAAAGGAACAUGCUUCACGCAUGUUAGGAGCUUCAUGCUUCUGUAGUUUCUCAAUGGCUGCGGGAGGCAGCACCAUCCCUGGCUCUCUGGAAUGGAACAUGCUUCAUGCAUGUUCCAUUCUGCCCUCUGAAGAAUGGUUUGGCAAGAAGAAACAGAACUGGCGCACCUUCAUCAAGGACCUCCAUGCCUGAAUAUUGAUGUUGGAACAUUUUCUUUUCCCAAGUGGCCUCUGUGGCAGAUUUCAAGAAAGAACGAAAAGAAUCUGAAGAAAGAACGAAAGGAAGCAACAAUGCACGACAGAAGCCAAACCAGGGCUCCAUUGACAGAUGGCCCCUGUCCUGAAUGCAACAUGCUCCACGCAUGUUAGGAGCUUCAUGCUUCUGUAUUUUCUCAGUGCCUGUGGGAGGCAGCAUCAUCUCUCAGAUGGUCGCUGUCCUGAAUGGAACAUGCUUCACGCAUGUUAGGAGCUUCAGGCUUCUGUAGUUUCUCAAUGGCUGUGGGAAGCAGCACCAUCCCUGGCUGUCUUGAAUGGAACAUGCUUCAUGCAUGUUCCAUUCUGCCCUCUGAAGAAUGGUUUGGCAAGAAGAAACUGAAUUGGCACACCUUUCUCGAAGACCUCCAUGCCUGAAUAUUGAUGUUGGAACAUUUUCUUCUCCCAAGUGGCCUCUGUGGCAGAUUUCAAGAAAGAACGAAAAGAAUCUGAAGAAAGAACGAAAGGAAGCAACAAUGCACGACAGAAGCCAAACCAGGGCUCCAUUGACAGAUGGCCCCUGUCCUGAAUGCAACAUGCUUCACGCAUGUUAGGAGCUUCAUGCUUCUGUAUUUUCUCAGUGCCUGUGGGAGGCAGCAUCAUCUCUCAGAUGGUGGCUUUUCUUGAAAGGAACAUGCUUCACGCAUGUUAGGAGCUUCAGGCUUCUGUAGUUUCUCAAUGGCUGUGGGAAGCAGCACCAUCCCUGGCUGUCUUGAAUGGAACAUGCUUCAUGCAUGUUCCAUUCUGCCCUCUGAAGAAUGGUUUGGCAAGAAGAAACAGAACUGGCACACCUUCUUCAAGGACCUCCAUGCCUGAAUAUUGAUGUUGGAACAUUUUCUCCUCCCAAGCGGCCUCUCUGGCAGAUUUCAAGAAAGAACGAAAAGAAUCUGAAGAAAGAACGAAAGGAAGCAACAAUGCACGACAGAAGCCAAACCAGGGCUCCAUUGACAGAUGGCCCCUGUCCUGAAUGCAACAUGCUUCACGCAUGUUAGGAGCUUCAUGCUUCUGUAUUUUCUCAGUGCCUGUGGGAGGCAGCAUCAUCUCUCAGAUGGUGGCUUUUCUUGAAAGGAACAUGCUUCACGCAUGUUAGGAGCUUCAGGCUUCUGUAGUUUCUCAAUGGCUGUGGGAAGCAGCACCAUCCCUGGCUGUCUUGAAUGGAACAUGCUUCAUGCAUGUUCCAUUCUGCCCUCUGAAGAAUGGUUUGGCAAGAAGAAACAGAACUGGCACACCUUCUUCAAGGACCUCCAUGCCUGAAUAUUGAUGUUGGAACAUUUUCUCCUCCCAAGCGGCCUCUCUGGCAGAUUUCAAGAAAGAACGAAAAGAAUCUGAAGAAAGAACGAAAGGAAGGAACAAUGCACGACAGAAGCCAAACCAUGGCUCCAUUGACAGAUGGCCCCUGUCCUGAAUGGAACAUGCUUCACGCAUGUUAGGAGCUUGAUGCUUCUGUAUUUUCUCAGUGCCUGUGGGAGGCAGCAUCAUCCCUAAGAUGGUGGCUUUUCUUGAAAGGAACAUGCUUCACGCAUGUUAGGAGCUUCAGGCUUCUGUAUUUUCCCAAUGGCUGUCUUGAAUGCAACAUGCUUCACGCAUGUUAGGAGCUUCAUGCUUCUGUAGUUUCUCAAUGGCUGUGGGAGGCAGCAUCAUCUCUAAGAUGGUGGCUUUUCUUGAAAGGAACAUGCUUCACGCAUGUUAGGAGCUUCAUGCUUCUGUAGUUUCUCAAUGGCUGUGGGAGGCAGCAUCAUCUCUAAGAUGGUGGCUUUUCUUGAAAGGAACAUGCUUCACGCAUGUUAGGAGCUUCAGGCUUCUGUAGUUUCUCAAUGGCUGUGGGAAGCAGCACCAUCCCUGGCUGUCUUGAAUGGAACAUGCUUCAUGCAUGUUCCAUUCUGCCCUCUGAAGAAUGGUUUGGCAAGAAGAAACUGAAUUGGCACACCUUUCUCGAAGACCUCCAUGCCUGAAUAUUGAUGUUGGAACGUUUUCUCCUCCCAAGCGGCGUCUCUGGCAGAUUUCAAGAAAGAACGAAAAGAAUCUGAAGAAAGAACGAAAGGAAGCAACAAUGCACAACAGAAGCCAAACCAGGGCUCCAUUGACAGAUGGCCCCUGUCCUGAAUGCAACAUGCUUCACGCAUGUUAGGAGCUUCAUGCUUCUGUAUUUUCUCAGUGCCUGUGGGAGGCAGCAUCAUCUCUAAGAUGGUGGCUUUUCUUGAAAGGAACAUGCUUCAUGCAUGUUAGGAGCUUCAGGCUUCUGUAGUUUCUCAAUGGCUGUCUUGAAUGGAACAUGCUUCAUGCAUAUUCCAUUCUGCCCUCUGAAGAAUGGUUUGGCAAGAAGAAACAGAAUUGGCACACCUUCUUCAAGGACCUCCAUGCCUGAAUAUUGAUGUUGGAACGUUUUCUCCUCCCAAGCGGCGUCUCUGGCAGAUUUCAAGAAAGAACGAAAAGAAUCUGAAGAAAGAACGAAAGGAAGCAACAAUGCACGACAGAAGCCAAACCAGGGCUCCAUUGACAGAUGGCCCCUGUCCUGAAUGCAACGUGCUUCAUGCAUGUUAGGAGCUUCAUGCUUCUGUAUUUUCUCAGUGCCUGUGGGAGGCAGCAUCAUCCCUAAGAUGGUGGCUUUUCUUGAAAGGAACAUGCUUCACGCAUGUUAGGAGCUUCAGGCUUCUGUAGUUUCUCAAUGGCUGUGGGAAGCAGCACCAUCCCUGGCUGUCUUGAAUGGAACAUGCUUCAUGCAUGUUCCAUUCUGCCCUCUGAAGAAUGGUUUGGCAAGAAGAAACAGAACUGGCGCACCUUCUUCAAGGACCUCCAUGCCUGAAUAUUGAUGUUGGAACGUUUUCUCCUCCCAAGCGGCCUCUCUGGCAGAUUUCAAGAAAGAACGAAAAGAAUCUGAAGAAAGAACGAAAGGAAGCAACAAUGCACGACAGAAGCCAAACCAGGGCUCCAUUGACAGAUGGCCCCUGUCCUGAAUGCAACAUGCUUCACGCAUGUUAGGAGCUUCAUGCUUCUGUAUUUUCUCAAUGCCUGUAGGAGGCAGCAUCAUCUCUCAGAUGGUGGCUUUUCUUGAAAGGAACAUGCUUCAUGCAUGUUAGGAGCUUCAUGCUUCUGUAGUUUCUCAAUGGCUGUGGGAGGCAGCACCAUCCCUCCCUGGCUGUCUUAAAUGGAACAUGCUUCAUGCAUGUUCCAUUCUGCCCUCCGAAGAAUGGUUUGGCAAGAAGAAACAGAACUGGCGCACCUUCUUCAAGGACCUCCAUGCCUGAACAUUGAUGUUGGAACAUUUUAUCCUGUCAAGUGGCCUCUGUGGCAGAUUCCAAGAAAGAACUAAAGGAGUCUUAAGAAUGAAUUAAAGGAAGCAACGACGCACGACAGAUGCCAAACCAGGGGCUGCAUACCUCAAUCACAACGCACUGUGAAUUAUUUCCAAAAGAAGCCCGAGGCUUCUUUAUACUCCCACCAACUUUGUCAGGCAUCAUAAUCUCUCAGAUGGUCCCUGUCCUGAAUGCAACAUGCUUCACGCAUGUUAGGAGCUUCAUGCUUCUGUAGUUUCUCAAUGGCUGUGGGAGGCAGCAUCAUCCCUGGCUGUCUUGAAUGGAACAUGCUUCAUGCAUGUUCCAUUCUGCCCUCUGAAGAAUGGUUUGGCAAGAAGAAACAGAACUGGCGCACCUUCUUCAAGGACCUCCAUGCCUGAAUAUUGAUGUUGGAACAUUUUCUUCUCCCAAGCGGCAUCUCUGGCAGAUUUCAAGAAAGAAUGAAAAGAAUCUGAAGAAAGAACGAAAGGAAGGAACAAUGCACGACAGAAGCCAAACCAGGGCUCCAUUGACAGAUGGCCCCUGUCCUGAAUGCAACAUGCUUCAUGCGUUUUAGGAGCUUCAGGCUUCUGUAUUUUCCCAAUGGCUGUGGGAGGCAGCAUCAUCUCUAAGAUGGUGGCUUUUCUUGAAAGGAACAUGCUUCACGCAUGUUAGGAGCUUCAAGCUUCUGUAGUUUCUCAAUGCCUGUGGGAGGCAGCAUCAUCCCUAAGAUGGUGGCUUUUCUUGAAAGGAACAUGCUUCACGCAUGUUAGGAGCUUCAGGCUUCUUUAGUUUCUCAAUGGCUGUGGGAAGCAGCAUCAUCUCUAAGAUGGUGGCUGUCCGGAAUGGAACAUGCUUCACGCAUGUUAGGAGCUUCAGGCUUCUGUAGUUUCUCAAUGGCUGUGGGAAGCAGCACCAUCCCUGGCUGUCUUGAAUGGAACAUGCUUCAUGCAUGUUCCAUUCUGCCCUCUGAAGAAUGGUUUGGCAAGAAGAAACUGAAUUGGCACACCUUUCUCGAAGACCUCCAUGCCUGAAUAUUGAUGUUGGAACGUUUUCUCCUCCCAAGCGGCGUCUCUGGCAGAUUUCAAGAAAGAACGAAAAGAAUCUGAAGAAAGAACGAAAGGAAGCAACAAUGCACGACAGAAGCCAAACCAGGGCUCCAUUGACAGAUGGCCCCUGUCCUGAAUGCAACAUGCUUCAUGCGUUUUAGGAGCUUCAGGCUUCUGUAUUUUCCCAAUGGCUGUGGGAGGCAGCAUCAUCUCUAAGAUGGUGGCUUUUCUUGAAAGGAACAUGCUUCACGCAUGUUAGGAGCUUCAAGCUUCUGUAGUUUCUCAAUGCCUGUGGGAGGCAGCAUCAUCCCUAAGAUGGUGGCUUUUCUUGAAAGGAACAUGCUUCACGCAUGUUAGGAGCUUCAGGCUUCUUUAGUUUCUCAAUGGCUGUGGGAAGCAGCAUCAUCUCUAAGAUGGUGGCUGUCCGGAAUGGAACAUGCUUCACGCAUGUUAGGAGCUUCAGGCUUCUGUAGUUUCUCAAUGGCUGUGGGAAGCAGCACCAUCCCUGGCUGUCUUGAAUGGAACAUGCUUCAUGCAUGUUCCAUUCUGCCCUCUGAAGAAUGGUUUGGCAAGAAGAAACUGAAUUGGCACACCUUUCUCGAAGACCUCCAUGCCUGAAUAUUGAUGUUGGAACGUUUUCUCCUCCCAAGCGGCGUCUCUGGCAGAUUUCAAGAAAGAAUGAAAAGAAUCUGAAGAAAGAACGAAAGGAAGGAACAAUGCACGACAGAAGCCAAACCAGGGCUCCAUUGACAGAUGGCCCCUGUCCUGAAUGCAACAUGCUUCAUGCGUUUUAGGAGCUUCAGGCUUCUGUAUUUUCCCAAUGGCUGUGGGAGGCAGCAUCAUCCCUAAGAUGGUGGCUUUUCUUGAAAGGAACAUGCUUCACGCAUGUUAGGAGCUUCAGGCUUCUUUAGUUUCUCAAUGGCUGUGGGAAGCAGCAUCAUCUCUAAGAUGGUGGCUGUCCGGAAUGGAACAUGCUUCACGCAUGUUAGGAGCUUCAGGCUUCUGUAGUUUCUCAAUGGCUGUGGGAAGCAGCACCAUCCCUGGCUGUCUUGAAUGGAACAUGCUUCAUGCAUGUUCCAUUCUGCCCUCUGAAGAAUGGUUUGGCAAGAAGAAACUGAAUUGGCACACCUUUCUCGAAGACCUCCAUGCCUGAAUAUUGAUGUUGGAACGUUUUCUCCUCCCAAGCGGCGUCUCUGGCAGAUUUCAAGAAAGAACGAAAAGAAUCUGAAGAAAGAACAAAAGGAAGCAACAAUGCACGACAGAAGCCAAACCAGGGCUCCAUUGACAGAUGGCCCCUGUCCUGAAUGGAACAUGCUUCACCCAUGUUAGGAGCUUCAUGCUUCUGUAGUUUCCCAAUGGAUGUGGGAGGCAGCAUCAUCUCUCAGAUGGUGGCUGUCUUGGAUGAAACAUGCUUCACGCAUGUUAGGAGCUUCAUGCUUCUGUAGUUUCUCAAUGCCUGUGGGAGGCAGAAUCAUCUCUAAGAUGGUCCCUGUCCUGAAUGGAACAUGCUUCAUGCAUGUUAGGAGCUUCAUGCUUCUGUAGUUUCUCAAUGCCUGUGGGAGGCAGAAUCAUCUCUAAGAUGGUCCCUGUCCUGAAUGGAACAUGCUUCACCCAUGUUAGGAGCUUCAUGCUUCUGUAGUUUCUCAAUGCCUGUGGGAGGCAGCAUCAUCUCUAAGAUGGUCCCUGUCCUGAAUGGAACAUGCUUCAUGCGCGUUAGGAGCUUCAUACUUCUGUAGUUUCUCAGUGCCUGUGGGAGGCAGCAUCAUCCCUAAGAUGGUGGCUUUUCUUGAAAGGAACAUGCUUCAUGCAUGUUAGGAGCUUCAGGCUUCUGUAGUUUCUCAAUGGCUGUCUUGAAAGGAACAUGCUUCACGCAUGUUAGGAGCUUCAUGCUUCUGUAGUUUCUCUAUGGCUGUGGGAGGCAGCAUCAUCCCUGGCUGUCUUGAAUGGAACAUGCUUCAUGCAUGUUCCAUUCUGCCCUCUGAAGAAUGGUUUGGCAAGAAGAAACAGAACUGGCACACCUUCUUCAAGGACCUCCAUGCCUGAAUAUUGAUGUUGGAACGUUUUCUCCUCCCAAGCGGCCUCUCUGGCAGAAACAGAACGGGCGCACCUUCUUCAAGGACCUCCAUGCCUGAACGUGGAUGUGGAAACGUUUUCUCCUCCGAAGUGGCCACUGAGGCAGGUAAGACUGAAAGAGAAGGAUGGGAGGGACCAAUAAAAAUAUAUAUAGGUCAACGAGGGCUGUAUUCACUCCUAUUUGGAUGUUCUUACUUGCUUAUAAAGAUCUUGAAUAUACAGUUUCGAGUGCUCUAUUUAAAUUUGUCUCCCUAGCAGAUGUUCCUCUUGGGUUUUGUGCAGGCCUAUUGAAAAGUGAUCUUACUAAACAAAUGCAGGGACGCAGGAGCUGAGGUCCUGCGGUCAGGGUGAUGUGCUGGCAACCUCUCCCCUGUAGCUGACACAGUGAGGCAGGGACGCAGGAGCUGAGGUCCUGCGGUCAGGGUGAUGUGCUGGCAACCUCUCCCCUGUAGCUGACACAGUGAGGCAGGGACGCAGGAGCUGAGGUCCUGCGGUCAGGGUGAUGUGCUGGCAACCUCUCCCCUGUAGCUGACACACUGAGGCAGGGACGCAGGAGCUGAGGUCCUGCGGUCAGGGUGAUGUGCUGGCAAC